UGGUCAGCCACACUGGGACUGAGACACUGCCCAGACUCCUACGGGAGGCUGCAGUCGAGGAUCAUUGGCAAUGCGCGAAAGCGUGACCAUGCGACGCUGCGUGGAGGAUGACGGCCUUCGGGUUGUAAACUCCUGUCAUCCGGGAAAAAUGGUCCGGCUCUGAAUAAGGGUUGGGCGUGAUGGUACCGGAAGAGGAAGCCACGGCUAACUCUGUGCCAGCAGCCGCGGUAAUACAGAGGUGGCGAGCGUUGUUCGGAUUUACUGGGCGUAAAGGGUGCGUAGGUGGCUUCGUAUGUCGAAUGUGAAAGCCCACUGCCCAACAGUGGAAUGGCAUUCGAAACUGCGGAGCUUGAGUCCAGGAGGGGAGAGCGGAAUUCUGGGUGUAGCGGUGAAAUGCGUUGAUAUCCAGAAGAACACCGGUGGCGAAGGCGGCUCUCUGGAAUGGUACUGACACUGAUGCACGAAAGCUGGGGGAGCAAACAGGAUUAGAUACCCUGGUAGUCCCAGCCGUAAACGGUGUGCACUUGGUGUGGGGAGUAUUAACCCUCUCCGUGCCGGAGCUAACGCGUUAAGUGCACCGCCUGGGGAGUACGGCCGCAAGGCUAAAACUCAAAGAAAUUGACGGGGGCCCGCACAAGCGGAGGAGCAUGUGGCUUAAUUCGAUGCAACGCGAAGAACCUUACCAGGGCUUGACAUGCAGCUGCACGUCCCGUGAAAGCGGGAUUCCUUCGAGGGUGCUGCACAGGUGCUGCAUGGCUGUCGUCAGUUCGUGCCGUGAGGUGUUGGGUUAAGUCCCGCAACGAACGCAACCCUUGUGUUUAGUUGCCACCGCCGGUGAUGAGCCGGCGAGCACUCUAAACAGACUGCCCGUACAAGCGGGAGGAAGGUGGGGACGACGUCAAGUCAGUAUGGCCCUUACGCCCUGGGCUGCACACGUGCUACAAUGGCCGGUAUAAUGGGAUGCAAUAUCGCGAGGUGGCGCAAAUCCGCAAAACCGGCCUCAGUUCGGAUUGGAGUCUGAAACUCGACUCCAUGAAGUUGGAUUCGCUAGUAACGGCGCAUCAGCUACGGCGCCGUGAAUACGUUCCCGGGCCUUGUACACACCGCCCGUCACAUCAUGAAAGCUGUCUGCACCCGAAGUCACUGGGCCAACCUUUACGGGAGGUAGGUGCCGAAGGUGUGGGUGGUGAUUGGGAUGAAGUCGUAACAAGGUA
rnacentral:rRNA from 1 species